CCUACGGGAGGCAGCAGUGAGGAAUAUUGGUCAAUGGGCGCGAGCCUGAACCAGCCAAGUAGCGUGAAGGAUGACUGCCCUACGGGUUGUAAACUUCUUUUAUAAAGGAAUAAAGUGAGGCACGUGUGCCUUUUUGUAUGUACUUUAUGAAUAAGGAUCGGCUAACUCAGUGCCAGCAGCCGCGGUAAUACGGAGGAUCCGAGCGUUAUCCGGAUUUAUUGGGUUUAAAGGGAGCGUAGUUGGGUUGUUAAGUCAGUUGUGAAAGUUUGGGGCUCAACCGUAAAAUUGCAAUUGAGACUGGCAGGCUUGAGUACCGUAGAGGGGGGUAGAAUUGGAGGUGUAGCGGUGAAAUGUGUAGAGAUCGGGAGGAAUUCCGAUGGCGAAGGCGGCC
rnacentral:rRNA from 1 species